GGUGAUCUCUGAGCGAGGCAACCGAGUGUGAGAAGCGAUGACGGGUAUUGCGGAAAUGGUGACUGUGCGACCUCUGACCUUGGGUGGGCUGAGAAUCGUCAACAAGGUGUUGAAGCCGCUUCCCUCCGCCGGGCUGUGACUACACGGAGAGCCUCAUCAUCCUCAUCCACUCUCCCGCGUCCCACAUGCCCCGCUGCUGCCAGCCCGCCUGCGUGGAAAUAAAUCACGGAGUGAUGAACGUCAUCAUGUAAAGACGAUGUUGUAGUCUGAUUUUAUACCACACGGUGGCAGCAUUACGCCAUCCCCACAACUGGUCCAAGACUCCACUGGGCCCACUGGGAAAACAUUUCAGUUUGAGGCCUAUGUCUGCAAGUAAGUGAACUGGUGUUGAUAUGCAACAUUCAAAAUGAUGAAGCACCGACUAUAGGUAUUUUGUAGGCUUGUUAAAAGUGAUCAAACUAAUACAGUGUACUGUGCAUUUAUUAUAAAAUUGUCACACAGCUUAUUAUGUUUAGUUUCAAAAACUGCAACAGCAACUCACAAAACGAAGCUGGAGUGAA